rnacentral:rRNA from 1 species
UGCAAGUCGAGCGAACAGAUAAGGAGCUUGCUCCUUUGACGUUAGCGGCGGACGGGUGAGUAACACGUGGGUAACCUACCUAUAAGACUGGGAUAACUUCGGGAAACCGGAGCUAAUACCGGAUAAUAUUUCGAACCGCAUGGUUCGAUAGUGAAAGAUGGUUUUGCUAUCACUUAUAGAUGGACCCGCGCCGUAUUAGCUAGUUGGUAAGGUAACGGCUUACCAAGGCGACGAUACGUAGCCGACCUGAGAGGGUGAUCGGCCACACUGGAACUGAGACACGGUCCAGACUCCUACGGGAGGCAGCAGUAGGGAAUCUUCCGCAAUGGGCGAAAGCCUGACGGAGCAACGCCGCGUGAGUGAUGAAGGUCUUCGGAUCGUAAAACUCUGUUAUUAGGGAAGAACAUACGUGUAAGUAACUGUGCACGUCUUGACGGUACCUAAUCAGAA